UAUUUAAAAUUCCAUUCAUUUGUACUAGUUAAAAGUUGGCAUAGUUGAUGAAAUAACUAGACAAUGGCAUGUGACGUGCCCUGUGUAAAUCAUGUUGAUGUAUAUGGACCAAUUUUUAAUUGCACAAAUGGAUGGAAUUUUUAACA
rfam:Gossypium hirsutum cultivar TM-1 chromosome 22, whole genome shotgun sequence